GCCAGCGUAGCUCAAUGGUAGAGCAGGUCCUUCGUAAGGACAAGGUUGUGGGUUCAAAUCCCAUCGCUGGCU
rnacentral:tRNA from 1 species